rnacentral:rRNA from 1 species
AUUGUACGCUAGCGGGAUGCCUUACACAUGCAAGUCGAACGGAGUGGCGAACGGGUGAGUAAUGGAUAGGAAUGUGCCAAGUAGCGGGGGAUAACUACGCGAAAGCGUAGCUAAUACCGCAUACUAUUGGAGUGGCCGAUGUCGGGUUAGCGAGUUGGUGGGGUAAGGGCUCACCAAGGCGAAGAUCCGGAGCUGGUUUGAGAGGAGGACCAUCCACACUGGGACUGAGACACGGCCCAGACUCCUACGGGAGGCAGCAGUGGGGAAUAUUGGACAAUGGGCGAAAGCCUGAUCCAGCCAUCCCGCGUGUGCGAAGAAGGCCUUCGGGUUGUAAAGCACUUUCAGCAGGAAGGCGUUACCCACAGAAUAAGCACCGGCUAACUCCGUGCCAGCAGCCGCGGUAAUUC